AGUUAUAUUGUAGGUGUAUCAAAUUCUAAUCUCGUGUCAGGUCCUACGAGCCAAGGGAUAGUCUCAGGUAGACAGUUUCUAUAGGGCGUAGGCCUCCCAUAAAGUAACAGUGGCAUGCAAAUAUUUCCUCAAAUCUAAUGAAGAUUGGCCCUUGAGUGCGAAGGUAGAAGGGAACUUGACUGCAAGACCCAAUCUUCGAGCAGAGAUGAAAGUCUGCAUUAGUGAUCCGAUGGUGUCGAGUGGAAGGGCCGUCGCUCAAUGGAUAAAAGUUAC
rfam:Capsicum annuum cultivar Zunla-1 chromosome 12, whole genome shotgun sequence